GGGGGUAUGUAACCGGCGGGCUUAGGAGAGCGCUUGAAUGGCAUUCAAGAGGUCAUGGGUUCAGAUCCCACUAUCUCCACUA
rnacentral:tRNA from 1 species